GGAUAACGUCCCGAAAGGGACGCUAAUACCGCAUAACAUGCUGUCCUUUAAGAGAUGGACAUCCAAGCCUGAGGCCGCAAGGCCUGGCGCUUGAAGAGGGGCCCGCGCCUGAUUAGCUAGUUGGUGGGGUAAUGGCUCACCAAGGCAACGAUCAGUAUCCGGCCUGAGAGGGCGGACGGACACACUGGGACUGAGACACGGCCCAGACUCCUACGGGAGGCAGCAGUGGGGAAUUGUUCGCAAUGGGCGCAAGCCUGACGACGC
rnacentral:rRNA from 1 species